UACGUAGGGUGCAAGCGUUAAUCGGAAUUACUGGGCGUAAAGCGUGCGUAGGCGGUUUGUUAAGUCUGCUGUGAAAGCCCUGGGCUCAACCUGGGAACGGCAUUGGAAACUGGCUUACUAGAGUGCGGUAGAGGGGUGUGGAAUUCCCGGUGUAGCAGUGAAAUGCGUAGAUAUCGGGAGGAACAUCUGUGGCGAAGGCGACACCCUGGACCAGCACUGACACUGAGGCACGAAAGCGUGGGGAGCGAACAGG
rnacentral:rRNA from 1 species